UCCUCUGAGCUCUCAUUCUGGGACACGGCAGCAGGGCCGCAGAGUGUAGACGACUGGCCCGGACCCCCUGGAUGGACCUGACCCUGGGGGAUGCAGACAACUAGUCUGGACCACCUGGACCCUUGAACGACAGACAGACGACUGGCCCGGACUGCCAGCUGCCCCAACCCCAACAGAGCUUCUGCUGACAACUGAGGCCCCUGCCGAUCACCUUACCUCACCGGACCAGCAGAUGUCACAUGACUUCAGUAUUAAACAUCACAAGUUAUUAGAAUGGAUUUGGUUUCAGAAGACAGAAAAAAAAAGAAAAGAAAACCCAAAACUAUCCAAUCUUCACAGAUGACUGCAGACUUGUGGACUGGGUGAUGUUGCAGUAUUUUUAGCACACAGUUACAGGAAGUAUUCUUGUCAGUCAGAGUUGGUAUGUUUCCAUUUGUGUGGUUUGGCUGCAUGGAGCAACGUGGCAACUGGUUACUUGAAAAUAUUUAAGAAAAAGGCAAAUUCCUCAGCUCUGGCAUACCUGUGGACCACAUAUAUGGACAU